GCUCGCUUAGCACAGUGGUAGUGCAUUGUACUUAUGUGGAAACCUAUUGAGAAUGCAAGGGUCCUGAGUUCGACCCUCAGAGUGAGCA